GCAGUUGUAGACUGUCAUGACUACUAUGCUUCCUGUGUGUGCGUAAGCAGGAAGUACAUGAAAUGAGGUUAUACUGAGGCCAGAAGUAUUUAGAGAUUUGUCGUCUCUCAAUGGGCAAGAUGCUGGAAUACAGGGUGAUCAGACAAACGCUUGUAAAUGCAGUACGAAAGAGAGCCAGCACAGCCAGAACACAAACCACACUGCCAAGAGAUGCGGAUGCAGGUAAUAUUUUUGUGGAUACACAUAUUUUAUCCCAUGGGAACUUCAUCAUCGCACCACACUCCACUAAGACGACAUUCACAGGGGUCUGCCUGUCUCCAGAAGAUGGGUAGCAAGAGACGCCGUCUUGAGGCGGUAACUACCCCCGCAUCCUCACCACCACAACGGCGCAUAUCCACUGUGUUGGCUCAGCCACCAGAAGCCAUUUUGGCCAGUCCACAAAGCGAGGAACCACAAUCCCCUCAGCUGUCUGAUCCAGACAUCAUGCCCCAGGAUACCCAGCCGGAAACUGACUUGCAGCAAACGUUCACACUACACCUGCAAGCAAUGGAUAAUAACCAGCCAACCACGCCGGCUGACAUAUCUCCACCACCCCAAACAACACCCCCCCCCCCCAAAUGAGCCCAACACCACCCCAGCCACAAAUGGGACCAGAGUUUUGGUCCAGUUGGGCCACACAACAGGUACAAAACUAUGCCUGUCUCAACACACACAGCCAAUAUCUUGCCAGUCUGCCCCAUCAUCUACCUAGACUCAGUAGAAACUAAGGCAGAAUGAUUGUGCAACUUGGCAGAGUGGCCAAUACCAUGGAGCAGAUGAGAGCAGACAACAGCCAACUGAUAGCAAGUUUUCAGCGCAUAAUGGACGAACAACGCCGCCAUCAACAAGCCCUCAUUCAAAUCAUUCAGAACAAUAGGUUAAUCACCGAAAGCCUGUCCAGAAUCAUCUCCAACAACACAGCCGCAACCACACAACUCACAGCAAGCCUCUACAACUUGAGCCAAAUCAUAAAUGUGUUGGCAUCCCAGCAACAAGGCUCAAGCUCAGGGACAACCACACCUAGCCAGACCUCAGUUACCUCCCCAGUUAGACGAUCCAGCAGAACACGGCCCAAUGUGCUAUCACAAUCCUCUGCAGCCAGCAAAAAAAAACCUAGGAAAUGAGCAACCCUGCAACAGUAUAUACAGUAUUGGCAACCAUAUUUCAACAAUAAAGAAUUGUGCCCAAGCAAAAACAAGUG